AUUGAACGCUGGCGGCAUGCCUUACACAUGCAAGUCGAACGGUAACGGGCCUUCGGGUGCCGACGAGUGGCGAACGGGUGAGUAAUGUAUCGGAACGUACCUUUCAGUGGGGGAUAACGUAGCGAAAGUUACGCUAAUACCGCAUAUUCUGUGCGCAGGAAAGCAGGGGAUCGCAAGACCUUGCGCUGAUUGAGCGGCCGAUAUCAGAUUAGCUAGUUGGUGAGGUAAAGGCUCACCAAGGCGACGAUCUGUAGCGGGUCUGAGAGGAUGAUCAGCCACACUGGAACUGAGACACGGUCCAGACUCCUACGGGAGGCAGCAGUGGGGAAUUUUGGACAAUGGGGGCAACCCUGAUCCAGCCAUGCCGCGUGAGUGAAGAAGGCCUUCGGGUUGUAAAGCUCUUUCGGCCGGGAAGAAAUCGCAUCAGCUAAUACCUGGUGCGGAUGACGGUACCGGCAUAAGAAGCACCGGCUAACUACGUGCCAGCCGCCGCGGUAACAC
rnacentral:rRNA from 1 species